rnacentral:rRNA from 1 species
CGAGCGCUACCUUCGGGUGGAGCGGCGGACGGGUUAGUAACGCGUGGGAACGUACCCUUCUCUACGGAAUAGCCAUUGGAAACGAUGAUUAAUACCGUAUACGCCCUUUGGGGGAAAGAUUUAUCGGAGAAGGAUCGGCCCGCGUUAGAUUAGAUAGUUGGUGGGGUAAUGGCCUACCAAGUCUACGAUCUAUAGCUGGUUUUAGAGGAUGAUCAGCAACACUGGGACUGAGACACGGCCCAG